AGCUCUUACUGCUCUUGGUGGGCAGAAUUUGGCAGACACAGUGAGGACAAUGCUGAGGAAAAUUGCCACAAACAAAGUCCUGGAGCAGCUUGGUCUCCGUGGAAAGACAGGCAAAGUGGCAUUUGAGGACUUGCCCUUUUACAGAAUAAUAAUAAAGGCAUGCAGGGGUGUUCACAAACAGACGACCACAGCUGAAGUAGAUUGUGAGCUUGGAGAGGUCCUGAAACUGGCCACUUUUUGAAAGGGAGGUUCAAAGUUUGAGGAGAAGAGGAGGAAUUAAGAGGAAGCGACGGCGAAGAAGGGCAAAGGGAGGUGUACAAAGGAAAUGGACAGUGAGAUGAGUGACCAGGUAAAUGAUAAAGUAAUUAUGCCAAUGUUUUAAAUCAAUUCAUGAAGAUCCCAGUUCUGUGUUGAAUUUGCAAUUAUAAACACUCGAUUGUAUUGUACAUAUGUCCCGGCAAGAAAUCUGCGUUCAAAGAACUCCGGCUUAUUAUUGAUACCCAGAGCCCAAAAAAAGUCUGCGGGCUAUAGAGCGUUUUCUAUUCAGGCUCCAGUACUAUGGAAUGCCCUCCCGGUAACAAUUAGAGAUGCUACCUCAGUAGAAGCAUUUAAGUCCCAUCUUAAAACUCAUUUGUAUACUCUAGCCUUUAAAUAGACCCCCCUUUUAGACCAGUUGAUCUGCCGUUUCUUUUUUCUCCUCUGCUCCCCUCUUCCUUGUGGAGGGGGGGGGGGGCACAGGUCCGGUGGCCAUGGAUGAAGUGCUGGCUGUCCAGAGUCGGGACCCGUGGUGGACCGCUCGCCUGUGCAUCGGCUGGGAACAUCUCUGCGCUGCUGACCCGUCUCCGCUCGGGAUGGUGUCCUGCUGGCCCCACUAUGGACUGGACUCUUACUAUAAUGUCAGACCCACUCGACAUCCAUUGCAUUCGGUCUCCCCUAGAGGGGGGGGGUUACCCACAUAUGCGGUCCUCUCCAAGGUUUCUCAUAGUCAUUCACAUUGACGUCCCACUGGGGAAGCGAUGGCGAAGAAGGGCAAAGGGAGGUGUACAAAGGAAUAGGACAGUGAUAUGAGUGACCAGGAAGCGACGGCGAAGAAGGGCAAAGGGAGGUGUACAAAGGGAAUGGACAGUGAGAUGAGUGACCAGGAAGUGAAGAAGAAGAAAACAGGGAAAGGGAAAAGAACCAAGCAAACGCCAGUGAGACCAGUGAGCAUUGAGCAGGAAGAGAACCAACAAGAAGGGGCAGGAGUACACUGACGCGCACGACCAAGACCACAGCAUUCCAUUUCUAUUGUAUUAUAAUUAUCACUAAUAAAGAAUUAUUGUUGAA